AUUGAACGCUGGCGGCAGGCCUAACACAUGCAAGUCGGACGGUAGCACAGAGGAGCUUGCUCCUCGGGUGACGAGUGGCGGACGGGUGAGUAAUGUCUGGGGAUCUGCCCGAUAGAGGGGGAUAACCACUGGAAACGGUGGCUAAUACCGCAUAACGUCGCAAGACCAAAGAGGGGGACCUUCGGGCCUCUCACUAUCGGAUGAACCCAGAUGGGAUUAGCUAGUAGGCGGGGUAACGGCCCACCUAGGCGACGAUCCCUGGCUGGUCUGAGGGGAUAACCCGCCACACUGGAACUGGUACCCGGGCCAGACGCCUACGGGAGGCAGCAGUGGGGAAUAUUGCACAAUGGGCGCAAGCGUGAUGCAGCCAUGCCGCGUGUAUGAAGAAGGCCUUCGGGUUGUAAAGUACUUUCAGCGGGGAGGAAGGCGGUGAAGUUAAUAGCUUCACCGAUUGACGUUACCCGCAGAAGAAGCACCGGCUAACUCCGUGCCAGCCGCCGCGGUAA
rnacentral:rRNA from 1 species